GCAUAUUUUGUGCAAGAAAAAAAAAAAAAUAGAACCCAACAUCACAUCAACUCUAGAGCUGAUGUCCUUAUUCAUGUAUGCACAACACCUCUUGCCAAUUAUGUCUUGUAUAGUUCUUCCUUUUUCAGAUUUUACUUGUGAAUAAACUUGGAAAACCUACUGCAAUCAAAUCAAAACAUAAUGGCUGGAAAUUAAAUUUCCAGCGUCUGAUCCCCUUCUGGU
rnacentral:misc_RNA from 1 species